AUUCAAAAAAACUUAGACCCACGGGGGCACGCUCUCCAAUAGGACAGUCAGUAGAUGUACGGUUCUGCUGGCUGGCAGUCGAACGGAAGGCAAUUUCCAUUUAUGGUUCUGCCUUGGCUAGUAAGCUGAUCGAGCUGCCUGUCUGACCCUACCCUUGCUUUUUGCGCACCCAUUGUUUCCUCGGCAGGCUUGCCUGCCAGUAGGACCCCCUUUAAACCUUUUGUAAUUGCAAUCAGCGUCAGAAACAACGUAAUCGUUACAACUUUCAACAACGGAUCUCUUGGUUCU
rnacentral:misc_RNA from 1 species